UACGUAGGUGGCAAGCGUUGUCCGGAUUUAUUGGGUUUAAAGGGUGCGUAGGCGGUCCUAUAAGUCAGUGCUGAAAUAUCCCGGCUUAACCGGGAGGGUGGCAUUGAUACUGUAGGACUUGAGUAAAGUUGAGGUUGGCGGAAUUGACGGUGUAGCGGUGAAAUGCUUAGAUAUCGUCAAGAACACCUAUUGCGAAGGCAGCUAACUACGCUUUAACUGACGCUGAGGCACGAAAGUGUGGGGAUCAAACAGG
rnacentral:rRNA from 1 species